GUGAUUUAGGGUUUAGGGUUUACUCCAUUUUACCCUAACACCUAAUUUUCAUAUUUGCUGCUGCCGAGUGCCGACUGUGAAGAAACAACAAACCUGAGAAAAAAAUCCAGUUCAACUGUGAAGAAACAUAAACAUCUCAUGGCUUCACGUAUUCGCUUCUCUUUAAAUCAUCUUCUCCACUCUUCUUCACUUUUCAUUCCUUCUUUUAAAUCAAACCCAUUUACACUUUCAAAAAUUUCAAAACUUUCUCCUUCUCAUUCUUCUUUCUCAACAUUGAACAGUACUUGUCAAAUCAAGCUCGAGCAUCUACCAGGAGAUUCUGCUGAAGGUCUUGAAGAAUUACGGAAAGAAGCGCAACACCGCUGGUUAAUACAGCUGAAAUUCAUGAUAUGUUUACCAAGUAGUGGCAUGAUAUGGUUAUCACUGAACGACAAGAAAGGCCUCCAAGUGGUUCAUUCUUUGCAAUAAAGAAGCACAUGAUGAGAGACUUUAAAAAAGUGGCCAUAACUGGACUAAGAAAAAGGAUGGAAAGCUUGUGCAGGCAUCGUAUGAGAGGCUCAAAGUUGGAAAUGUUGAGAUGUUGCAGUGCGUCUAUGUCCAUGGACAAGAUAAUGGCAAUUUUCAAAGACGCAUUUAUUGGAUGCUUGACCAGGAACCUUUAGACAUCGCUCUUUUCUCACUACCUUGAAGUAAAGAGAAAUUGGACAAGAUGUGAACGAGAGAAAAAGGACCUAUCGGAUGUCUUUAAUAGAUCUCAUGUGAUUUUCCGACCGACUAUGGAGUGGCAGGUAAAAAAUUAAUGAUAGAGCUUGUAUGCUUAUUGUUUUAUCUCUAAUUCAAUCCAUUAAAAGUUUUAUUCUAUAAGAUUUAUGGGAUUAUGUUUUUGGAAUUAAAUCCUGGACUUCCCAUUGCUGGUGAUAAGAUCAUACUUUUGAACGAAAAUUUACCAGCUAUAACAUAUUAACUAUACUUCCUUUCUUAAGUAAAUUUUCUAAAAAGUUUAUUUUCCAACUGACUGUUACAUUCACUUAAUUUUGUAAAACGAUCUUUAAGUACAAAAUCUUGCAACUAAUUUUGGAGACGAUCCAAGUGACAAACUAUAAUAUUUUUAAAGCAGUUAAUAUGCAUAAUUAGAUUAUACGACAAAUGCCACCUGUUAGUUUUUUUUUGAUUUUUUGUUGUUGUAGGAGAAAAGAUAAAAUAAGGGUCUAUUGGUGAUUAAUCAUGGUACUAAUAAUAAUGGUAUAACUAUUUUAUCCCGAAACCAUGAGGGUGUAAUUGUUUCAUUCUGAA